rnacentral:rRNA from 1 species
UACGUAGGUCCCGAGCGUUGUCCGGAUUUAUUGGGCGUAAAGCGAGCGCAGGUGGUUUAAUAAGUCUGAUGUAAAAGGCAGUGGCUCAACCAUUGUGUGCAUUGGAAACUGCAAGGCUUGAGUCAGGUAGAGGGAGGCGGAAUUCCCGGUGUAGCGGUGAAAUGCGUAGAUAUCGGGAGGAAGGCCGGUGGCGAAGGCGGCCUCCUGGGCCUGCACUGACGCUGAGGCGCGAAAGCGUGGGGAGCAAACAGG